UGUAUGAACCUUUGUGUUUAGAGGCAAAAUGAAUUUUGCGAAAUCUUGGAGCGAAUUUAAAGAAAUACUUCGCAGACACGAAGUAGAAACUGUAACAAAAUAUGUUUACUACUAUGGAAAGUCAUUCGAUAAAGAGACACCAAUGGACUAGCAGAUAAGAUAGCUGAAUACUGGAUGUUUGAUCAAGGUACAAAUACUGUUGAAUGGAUUAGCUGCAUGGGAAUUUUCCUGUUCUCCUUAUAUAUAAGUGAAUACAAGACAGUUUCCCAUUAGACCUUCUCAAAGGCAUCCCUUUUGCUUGAACUAACUCCAGAUUUACGAUUAAACUGGUUAGAUGAUAUUCCCUAUUUCCACUUUGGGCGAAAAACCUAUGUUU
rnacentral:lncRNA from 1 species